GACGAACGCUGGCGGCGUGCCUAAUACAUGCCAGUAGAACGCUGAAGGAGGAGCUUGCUUCUCUGGAUGAGUUGCGAACGGGUGAGUAACGCGUAGGUAACCUGCCUGGUAGCGGGGGAUAACUAUUGGAAACGAUAGCUAAUACCGCAUAAUAGCAGUUAUUGCAUGAUAACUGUUUGAAAGGUGCACUUGCACCACUACCAGAUGGACCUGCGUUGUAUUAGCUAGUUGGUGGGGUAACGGCUCACCAAGGCGACGAUACAUAGCCGACCUGAGAGGGGGGUCGGCCAAACUGGGACGGGGGCACGGCCCAGGAGCCUACGGGGGGGAGCAGGAGGGGAUCUUCGGAAAUGGAGGGAAGGCCGACCGAGCAAAGCCGGGUGAGGGGAGAAGGGUGUCGGAUCGUAAAGCUCUGUUGUAAGGGAAGAAAGAGGGGGAGAGUGGAAAGUUCACACUGUGACGGUAUCUUACCAGAAAGCGACGGCUAACUACGUG
rnacentral:rRNA from 1 species